rnacentral:rRNA from 1 species
AUUGAACGCUGGCGGCAGGCCUAACACAUGCAAGUCGAACGGUAACAGGAAGCAGCUUGCUGCUUCGCUGACGAGUGGCGGACGGGUGAGUAAUGUCUGGGAAGCUGCCUGAUGGAGGGGGAUAACUACUGGAAACGGUAGCUAAUACCGCAUAAUGUCGCAAGACCAAAGAGGGGGACCUUCGGGCCUCUUGCCAUCGGAUGUGCCCAGAUGGGAUUAGCUUGUUGGUGGGGUAACGGCUCACCAAGGCGACGAUCCCUAGCUGGUCUGAGAGGAUGACCAGCCACACUGGAACUGAGACACGGUCCAGACUCCUACGGGAGGCAGCAGUGGGGAAUAUUGCACAAUGGGCGCAAGCCUGAUGCAGCCAUGCCGCGUGUAUGAAGAAGGCCUUCGGGUUGUAAAGUACUUUCAGCGGGGAGGAAGGGAGUAAAGUUAAUACCUUUGCUCAUUGACGUUACCCGCAGAAGAAGCACCGGCCAACUCCGUG